ACUGAGCCCCACAGGCGCCUCUCUUUGUGUUGUGCCUUAAGGAAAACCCUUUCUUAAAAAACAUUUGUGAAUUAUCUUCCUGAAAUAGAAACCGUCAGUGUUAGCAGCUGAAACUCUUCUCUCUAAACUAUAAACAGGGGUCUCCAGGAGCGGAACGCCAAGCCCCAAGGACUGAAGUUUGCAACAAAGGUCCUCCUCACUCGGUAGCAAUGCAGACAAGCCACGAGGAUGAAAAGAUCCAGAACACGCCUUGACCUGGCCUCGCGGCAUCACACCGGCUCGGGGACGGCAUCUUGCGUGAGGUCCAGAGCAGGCCUCGGCUCCGAGUCACAGGCCCCCUGCCGUUUCUCACCCCUGCCCUCUCUUGGGGAAAAGCGGCCAGCUGUGGAAGACACGUGGAUACAAGGAAAAAGGCCCCUGAACACGGUCACUGUCAAGUCAAAGUGCCCGUGGGCUUUCCGGCUUCCUUCGUCUUCCAGCUUUGGAUUUUCUUUCCUCUAACGUACUCAUGGAAGGAGAUAUUUUUCCCUCCGGAAGAUGCUGUCCAUUUUGGGUAACUAAGUAACAAAUUCACCUGCAAGUUCCUUCCCAGGGUGUGGUAGAGGCAGUCAAUUAGGUUUCUUGUUAAGCUUUUCCAGAAAUGAGAAUUUUAAAGGCUACUUCCUGUGUCUGAAAAUUA